UACGUAGGCAGCGAGCGUUGUUCGGAGUUACUGGGCGUAAAGAGUGCGUAGGCGGUUUUCUAAGUUUGGUGUGAAAUCUCCCGGCUCAACUGGGAGGGUGCGCCGAAGACUGGAAGGCUUGAGUAUGGGAGAGGUAAGCGGAAUUCCUGGUGUAGCGGUGAAAUGCGUAGAUAUCGGGAGGAACACCAGUGGCGAAGGCGGAUCUCUGGGCCUUACCUGACGCUCAGGUGCGAAAGCUAGGGGAGCGAACAGG
rnacentral:rRNA from 1 species